rnacentral:rRNA from 1 species
CGGCGGACGGGUGAGUAAUGCCUAGGAAUCUGCCUGGUAGUGGGGGACAACGUUUCGAAAGGAACGCUAAUACCGCAUACGUCCUACGGGAGAAAGCAGGGGACCUUCGGGCCUUGCGCUAUCAGAUGAGCCUAGGUCGGAUUAGCUAGUUGGUGAGGUAAUGGCUCACCAAGGCGACGAUCCGUAACUGGUCUGAGAGGAUGAUCAGCCACACUGGAACUGAGACACGGUCCAGACUCCUACGGGAGGCAGCAGAG